CCUCUUGGCAGGGCUCCUCCUGUCCCUCCGGUCUCCACAUGAAGUCACCUCUGCGGACAGGCCGUCUCCUCCCCACUGCAGCAUCCUCCGCGAAGUGCCCCCGGGGCCCACGCAGUACCGUGGGAGCACAGGAGCUGCUCCUGGGAGGAAGGGAUGGCCCACGCUCCUCCCAGGGCCGGCUGGUCACCCCCGGGCCCUGCAGUCCUGCACAGACCCCUGCCAGACUCUGGCCCUGGAGGACCCCUCACCCUCGACCCUGCCGAACUCCAGAUUUCUCUCGGCCUUCCGUUUGCGCACACACUCGGUGCCAAGCCUGUAGCAGGGGCUGGGGCGCGGCCUUCCCGGAUCUGCCGCUGGCGGGGGGGGGGGGGGGAAGCAGGGGUGCAUGAAGGACAUGCCGCAGCGAUCUGAGCAGGGCUCUGAGCAGCCAGAGCGUCGGGGACAAUGAGGGGGCAGGCCUCCGUGAGAAGGUGUGUGACCCUCCACCCCCCCAGCUGCCUGCGAGGGCCCAACAGGCUAAGGUCACCACAGGGUGUGCCUCCUGCCAGGCUGGUGGCCACCACUGGCUCAGACCACAUGUCCCCCCCCACCACAAGAGUGCUUUCACAGACUCCCUCGCAUGCUCUCCCCGCCAGGGUGCUGGCCUCUGGUCCUCAGACCCGGCUGCCAGCCCAGCCCCCUCAGUGCCCUAGGGGGCCUCUGAGCUCUGCUUUCCUCCAAGGCCAGCCCUGAGGUCCAGGGGUCCACUGGGGAGCAAGGCAGGGGCUCGUAGGCUUGGGGACAUUCAAAGCUGCCCCUGAGCCUCUAACUCCUUAUCCAGCCCCCGAGGAACAUGCCGGAUGCCUCCGGGCAGCCCCGCGGCACUUACAGGUCCCAGCCGGCCCUCCACGGUGCCCUUGGACCUCCUCCGCGGACUUCCGUUCUCCCAGUGGCGGUGGUGUUUUUCACGGAUCUCUUUGGUUCAGGAUUUAGCUUCUGCAGCUGUCCGUUUUCAGGAAACUGGAAACACUCGCUCUUCACGACAAGCAAGCGCAUCUCCAGGCCUUCGCCCGUCCGGUUCCGGUACCGUCUCUCGGAUCAGUGGGCAGGUCCAAGCACCAAGGUUUGGUCCUCGGCUCCUGUGGGAUUUCACUGCCUCCACGAGCAGGUCGAUACCAACAGUGGCAGAGCCGACAGCGCGGGGAGGCCUGCACAUGUUCCUGCACCCUGGCUUGGCACGAGUUCCUAGCUGGCCCUGCAGAGGUCUUGGUUGGAGGCGUUCAGAACAGAGCGGCCCCACCCUGGCCCCCUGAGCCGAGGGAGGCAGCCCCCGGGUCACCGGAACCGCCCGGUCCCUCUUCUCCUGGACCAAGCCUCCCAGGUCGCUGGGCGAGCGGGGCUGUCCCCAGUGCUGACUCGAGGACCAAAGCCAAGGCCGUGGGACGGUCUGACGUGCUCCUACACUGUCAGUCCUGGCUGAGGUCUGGGUUCAGGUGCGGGAGCUGCUCCGAGCACCCCAUUUCUCAUCACCUCCGCCCUCUGUUGCUGGACAGCGGCCCAGAUCUGCGGCCGCCUCUGCCCAGUGUCCCCACUGGCGCCUCCGGCCCAGGUGCAACCAGCAGGGGGUGCUCUUCUCCUGGGGUUUAUUGCCCAUUUCCCUUCCUGUAGGACUCCAAACAAAAGUUUCCAAAAGGCUGAAAGCCAAGGAUCCAGUUCUGAAAUCCCAGCUGAGCCGCCCCCUCCGAAGGAGCUGGAAAACCCCAAGCACACGUGGCCUUGCAGCUGCUGCUUUAUGCCUCGGGCAUCCCAGCCCACAGAGCUGUCCACACCGUGUCCCCGGGCCGGAAGGACCACCUAGAGAAAUGCUGAGCUGGGAGGAGGUCCUUCUGGCCCUCCAACCCCAACACUCCUAUGAGUAGCUGCUAGAACUUGUCGCCUGGAGCCCCUACAAGCACCUGCGAAAAAGAGCAGAAAAACAGGACGUGAAUCACUGGUCACAAUCACUUGGAGUGUCAAGAUGGGGCCUCACAGCGAGCGGUUACUACAGACGGCAAUUUUUAAAACAGGCGGGUUAAAAUACAGAGUCAAAUGAGA